GCCUAGUGAGGGUCAGGGAGGCCCGGCCCGCGCCCUCUCCGCCCAGCCGCCUCCCCGUCGACCACCCAGGGCUGGGGCGAGCCAGGCUGCCUUUCGAACUUGGGGGCUUCUCCUCUUGUCUCCCACUGGUGCUCUGGCUGUGAAUCCAUCCAGGCGCCAGGAGAUGACAAUCCGAUACCAAGGCCGGCAGUACAGGCUGAGGAUGGCAUUUCUCCAAAAGGUUUCCAAGCUGCGUCCUGGGCCUGGAGACUGAGACAGAGAUCCACGGACUGCAGUGCAGGCAGCCCACCCCAGCUCCGAGUCAUAUAAGGCUGCUUUCUUUUGUGUUUCCUGUUUUAAAUACUGACUACCACCAUUGGCUUGGCAGAGAGGUUGAAAUAUCAGUAAAAAACAUGCAGAACCAAAGAUGGGGACCAAAAUCCAAAGCCAGAGGGUCCUGGAAAUCAGAGGGUCUUACAACAUAACAGGCAGUACAGGCCAUGGCUCAGGCUAGGCGUGGAACAGACUGCAGUUCUCUUCUACAAAUCAAUCUAGACUGGACAGAUAGAACUCCAAGGGAGGAAAGAAAAAUGAAUCUGAUGUUACUUCUUGAAACCACAUUUUCUGAAGUCACC
rnacentral:lncRNA from 1 species